AAUCUACCUUAGUUACAGGGAUAGCCCGAGGAAACUCGGAUUAAUACCUGAUAUUCUUUAUAUUUCGCAUGAAAUUAAAAGGAAAGGUCAGCCGAACUAAGAUGAGCUCGCGUUCUAUCAGCUAGUUGGUGAGGUAAAAGCUCACCAAGGCUACGACGGAUAGCUGGUCUGAGAGGACGAUCAGCCACACUGGGACUGAGACACGGCCCAGACUCCUACGGGAGGCUGCAGCAGGGAAUAUUGCGCAAUGAGCGAAAGCUUGACGCAGCGACACCGCGUGUGGGAUGACGGAUCUAGGUUUGUAAACCACUUUCAGGAGGGAAGAAAAUGACGGUACCUCCACAAGAAGCCCCGGCCAACUACGUGCCAGCAGCCGCGGUAAUACGUAAGGGGCGAGCGU
rnacentral:rRNA from 1 species